CAAUAGCGUAUAUUUAAGUUGUUGCAGUUAAAAAGCUCGUAGUUGGAUUUCGGAUGGGACUUGCCGGUCCGUCGUUUCGAUGUGCACUGGCCAGUCCUAUCUUGUUGUCGGGGACUAGCUCCUGGGCUUCACUGUCCGGGACUAGGAGCUGACGAGGUUACUUUGAGUAAAUUAGAGUGUUCAAAGCAAGCCUACGCUCUGAAUACAUUAGCAUGGAAUAACACGAUAGGACUCUGGCUUAUCUUGUUGGUCUGUGAGACCAGAGUAAUGAUUAAGAGGGACAGUCGGGGGCAUUCGUAUUUCAUUGUCAGAGGUGAAAUUCUUGGAUUUAUGAAAGACGAACUUCUGCGAAAGCAUUUGUCGAGGAUGUUUUCAUUAA
rnacentral:rRNA from 1 species